UGGCUGAGCGGCUUAAAGCGUCCGACUUAUAAUCGGAAGAGGUGCUGGUAUCACCUCCGAGGGUUCGAAUCCCUC
rnacentral:tRNA from 3 species